rnacentral:tRNA from 1 species
GUCUCGGUAGUCUAAAGGCUUAGGACGCUCGUACGGAAUACAAGAGAUCCGGGUUCGAAUCCCGGUCGAGGUA